AUUGAACGCUGGCGGCAGGCCUAACACAUGCAAGUCGAACGGUAACAGGAAGAAGCUUGCUUCUUUGCUGACGAGUGGCGGACGGGUGAGUAAUGUCUGGGAAACUGCCUGAUUGAGGGGGAUAACUACUGGAAACGGUAGCUAAUACCGCAUAACGUCGCAAGACCAAAAAGGGGGACCUUCGGGCCUCUUGCCAUCGGAUGUGCCCAGAUGGGAUUAGCUAGUAGGUGGGGUAACGGCUCACCUAGGCGACGAUCCCUAGCUGGUCUGAGAGGAUGACCGGCCACACUGGAACUGAGACACGGUCCAGACUCCUACGGGAGGCAGCAGUGGGGAAUAUUGCACAAUGGGCGCAAGCCUGAUGCAGCCAUGCCGCGUGUAUGAAGAAGGCCUUCGGGUUGUAAAGUACUUUCAGCGGGGAGGAAGGGAGUAAAGUUAAUACCUUGGCUCAUUGACGUUACCCGCAGAAGAAGCACCGGCUAACUCCGUG
rnacentral:rRNA from 1 species